UACGAAGGGAGCUAGCGUUGUUCGGAAUUACUGGGCGUAAAGCGCACGUAGGCGGGCUACUAAGUCAGGGGUGAAAUCCUGAGGCUCAACCUCAGAAUUGCCUUUGAUACUGGUUGUCUUGAGGUCGGGAGGGGUGGGUGGAAUUCCUAGUGUAGAGGUGAAAUUCGUAGAUAUUCGGAGGAACACCAGUGGCGAAGGCGGCUCACUGGCCCGAUACUGACGCUGAGGUGCGAAAGCGUGGGGAGCAAACAGG
rnacentral:rRNA from 1 species